UGGGGAAUAUUGCACAAUGGGCGAAAGCCUGAUGCAGCAACGCCGCGUGAGUGAUGAAGGCCUUCGGGUUGUAAAGCUCUGUCUUUUGGGACGAUAAUGACGGUACCAAAGGAGGAAGCCACGGCUAACUACGUGCCAGCAGCCGCGGUAAUACGUAGGUGGCAAGCGUUGUCCGGAUUUACUGGGCGUAAAGGAUGCGUAGGCGGAUUUUUAAGUGAGAUGUGAAAACCCUAAGCUUAACUUGGGGACUGCAUUUCAUACUGGAAAUCUAGAGUGCGGGAGAGGAGAAUGGAAUUCCUAGUGUAGCGGUGAAAUGCGUAGAGAUUAGGAAGAACACCAGUGGCGAAGGCGAUUCUCUGGACCGUAACUGACGCUGAGGCAUGAAAGCGUGGGUAGCAAACAGGAUUAGAUACCCUGGUAGUCCACGCCGUAAACGAUGAGUACUAGGUGUAGGAGGUAUCGACCCCUUCUGUGCCGCAGUUAACACAAUAAGUACUCCGCCUGGGAAGUACGAUCGCAAGAUUAAAACUUAAAUGAA
rnacentral:rRNA from 1 species